rfam:Myotis brandtii contig208350, whole genome shotgun sequence.
CUUGGGGGUGGGGGGUCCCUCAGCCCAGAUUGUGAGAGGGCACAGGCCAGGCCAAGGGACCCCUCUGGUGCGUG